rnacentral:lncRNA from 1 species
CUGAUUUUCAAAGACAAAAUGUCAAAUACUAAGGAAAUUUACUUCCAAACAUGCAUACAUGAAAUGGAGAGAAGAAAUCCUUUCCUAUUUCAUGUGCCCAUUUUCAUACACCAGUGUCUUAAUUAGCCUGAGAGCAUCUAUUCCUAAAUUCCUACCUCCUAAAACUCCUAGCACUGUUCCAGUAAGUUCACUCUUGGACAAGGAACAAUGAGAGACAAAAAGCCUACAUGCUGCAGGAGAAAAGGAGAAAAAAGAGAAAAUCUAUUGAUCCUUAAAAAACCUUUUAUUUCCUUUGCGCCGAGGUGAUUCUUUAUGAAGGUGAAUAAUUAAGACGAUGGAAUUGAGAAGAUCUUUAAAAAAAGGUGAUGAAAGAAGCCAUUCAUGGACUAAUUAACAAAAUGCUAGAAGCAAAUGUUAACAGUUAACUGAUUGAGUAUCUCAAGGUGUGGUUCAUUUAAACCUAGCACCUGAUUGCUUGCUUACUUUAACACUUGCAUGCUUGCUUGCAAACAAUUGCAGUGUUCACUCUGCUUGUUUUCUUCCUCCCAUCUCCCUGGGAGCUCUUGAAUGUCCUGAGAGGGAGGGAGUCCAGUAACUUGCAUUUGUGCCCACCCUGAGCUGUGCAAACAAUUUAGGAUUCUCCAGGAGAGGGGUCUCUGCACCAGGGUCUGCCUGUGCCCAGGCUACUGAUAACAUUGGAAGCCUGCACAGAAGUGACUGCUUGAUGUGCUCGUCGGUGGAGGACACAAAACUUCCUUUGAACUCGAGAGCAGAGGAGAGCACCCAGCUGAUGUAUAGACUGGCAGAAUGGAGCAGCAGAAGAAUUAAGUCCCGUUUCUCACCAAAGAUAAGCAACAGAGCGAGCGGGGAAGCAACACAAGGCUCGCCGGCGAGCAAAAGCUCUCCUGGAACGGCGCAGACAGGCAGGGCGCUGACCUUUAGGAGGGAGAGGAAAAGCAUCAUUUUUUUCCAGCCCUCCAGUCACUGGAUGAAAGACGCUUUAAAGCUUCCAUCAGAGGGUGAUGCUGUCAGGGAUGGCUGAUUGAGGAUGUGUGAGGCACGGUGCUGCAGGCAAGUGCUGUGCUGCGGUGGGUACCGAGGCAGAUAGGGAAAAGCGUGGCCUCUUCCCUUCUGCAGCAAAGAAAGGGGCUUGCUGUGCCAGCUCGAGCUUACCUUUAAUGAACUUCCUAUUUUCCUUUUCACGUCACUGGGAUGCCUAACUCUUUUUUUUUUUUUUUAUUAAUGACGAAGUAAUUGGUUACAGCACAGGCUCUGUGCCCGUUAGCACAGUUGCUCCAAGCCAGUUAUACUUCCUGAUGCACCCUCUGCGUACAGGCAACGUGUUUGUUCCCUGAGUACAUGCGCUGUUUAAUAUCACACGUCUCCCUUUUGAAUUUUAAAGGGAAAACUAAUAAAGAAGAUCAUUGCAUCA